AUGUUUUUUUUUUCAUUUUAAUGAAUUAUGGCAGGUAGAUGCUACAUUAGGGGAUCUGUAACAGGGAUUGUGUAGCUGCUGUUACAAUGGGGUUAGCUACUAAUGUUGUUUAUGUUGAGUCAGCUCAGUUUGUUCCCAAUGGAGGAGUAGACAAAAACAAAUUUGGAGAAAUGGUUAUUGACAUGCAAUGGGGCAACUUCAAUACUCCACAUCUUCCUAUAACUCAGUUUGCAUGGCCUUGAAUUCGGAAAGCUCGAAUCCAGGAUCUCGGUUACGACAUAAAAAAUUAUAUGGGCAUGCAUUGGCGCCUUGAAGACGCUUCGCGAGUGGUUAGAAGUUGUCGUUGGCCAACCGUUGGAAAAGCAUAACAAGGAAGUUAAAUGAUUUGGUCAUAGGUAAGGUAGGUGGUGUUUGAUGGAGCUGGUAACAAUUUAGAAAUUG